rnacentral:rRNA from 1 species
GCAGUCGAGGGGCAGCGGGAGUGCUUGCACUCGCCGGCGACCGGCGCACGGGUGCGGAACGCGUAUGGAAUCUACCUCUUUCUGGGGAAUAGCCCAUGGAAACGUGGAUUAAUACCCCAUAGUAUUCAGAAAUCGCAUGAUUUUUGAAUUAAAGCUUUGGCGGAAAGAGAUGACCAUGCGUAUCAUUAGCUAGUAGGUGAGGUAACGGCUCACCUAGGCUACGAUGAUUAGGGGUCCUGAGAGGGAGAUCCCCCACACUGGUACUGAGACACGGACCAGACUCCUACGGGAGGCAGCAGUGAGGAAUAUUGGACAAUGGUCGAAAGACUGAUCCAGCCAUGCCGCGUGCAGGAUGAAUGCCCUAUGGGUUGUAAACUGCUUUUAUACGGGAAGAACACCACCCACGUGUGGGUGACUGACGGUACCGUAAGAAUAAGGACCGGCUAACUCCGUGCCAGCAGCCGCGGUAAUACGGAGGGUCCAAGCGUUAUCCGGAAUCAUUGGGUUUAAAGGGUCCGUAGGCGGGCUAUUAAGUCAGAGGUGAAAGUUUGCAGCUCAACUGUAAAAUUGCCUUUGAUACUGGUAGUCUUGAGUUAUAGUGAAGUGGUUAGAAUAUGUGGUGUAGCGGUGAAAUGCAUAGAUAUCACAUAGAAUACCAAUUGCGAAGGCAGAUCACUAACUAUAUACUGACGCUGAUGGACGAAAGCGUGGGGAGCGAACGGGAUUAGAUACCCCGGUAGUCCACGCCGUAAACGAUGGAUACUAGCUGUUGGAUUUUUUCAGUGGCUAAGCGAAAGUGAUAAGUAUCCC